rnacentral:rRNA from 1 species
UACGAAGGGGGCUAGCGUUGCUCGGAAUCACUGGGCGUAAAGCGCGCGUAGGCGGAUCUUUAAGUCAGGGGUGAAAUCCUGGAGCUCAACCCCAGAACUGCCUUUGAUACUGGGGAUCUCGAGUCCGGGAGAGGUGAGUGGAACUGCGAGUGUAGAGGUGAAAUUCGUAGAUAUUCGCAAGAACACCAGUGGCGAAGGCGGCUCACUGGCCCGGUACUGACGCUGAGGUGCGAAAGCGUGGGGAGCAAACAGG